UUCAGGCAAUGCUGCCGGUGUGACGUAUAAUCUAAUGGACGGGACGCUUCUUCAAACAGCAGCGAGUUAUUCACCUCCGUAGCUUUCGAGCACCUCGGUAUCUUACUAGCCAACAUAGACGAUAAAAUUGCAGAUCUUUAAAUGCUUUCGUUGUAUAUUAGCCACUGUGUUUUAAACACACUUGUCGUAUCUAUUAGCUAGUUACACCAUUGAAUUGAAUAUUUAUGUUGUUAGCUAGCUAGCUAGCUGGGUAAAUGAUCAGUAGUGCUAGUCUUGUCACUAACUAACUAGCUAACAUCCCAACCAUGAGCUCAGUAAACGACUCCCCACCUUCUGAAGAGGAGGUCUGCUGGACGGAGAAAGAAGCUCUGGGGCUGAACAUUGUCGUGAAAGAGGAGAAGGAAGAAGAGGAUGUCACAGUAAAACAAGAAACAGAGGUUGAGGCUGUUACAGUGAAAGAAGAAGAGAAAGAAGUUAAAUUGACAGAAGAUGAAGAUGCGUUCCGAGUGAAAGAGGAAGAGGAUGUUACAGUAAAAGAAGAAGAGGAGGAUGCCGUUUUUGGAUUGGGGGAGGUGACUGUCACAUUGGAAGAAGAGGAGAAAGGAGAUCUGAUUAACAACAGAGAGAGACCAGACUCUCACUCUGACAGACGGAAGAAGAGUCCUUCAGGGGAACCAGACCCAGAGACGCCCAAACCAGUGAGACGACACCACUGCUCCCAGUGUAAUUUGAGUUUUAAGUGGUUAUGGAAGCUGAAAGAGCAUGAGAGGACACACACAGGGGAGAAGCCACACCACUGCUCUCAGUGUGGAAAGAGUUUUACCCUGUUAGGGAACCUGAAAAAGCAUAAAGGAAUACACACAGGAGAAAAGCAUUUCCAAUGUUCCCAGUGUGGAAAGAGAUUUUCACGAUCACAGCACCUAAAAUCACAUGAGAGGACACACACAGGGGAUAAACCUCACCACUGCUCCCAGUGUGGAAAGAGUUUUACCCAGUUGGGGAGCCUGAAAAAGCAUAAAGGAAUACACACAGGAGAAAAACCUUUCCAAUGUUCCCAGUGUGGAAAGACAUUUUCAGGAUUGCAUCACCUAAAAUCACAUGAGAGGACACACACAGGGGAGAAGCCACACCAUUGUGCCCUGUGUGGAAAGGAUUUCACCCAGUUAGGGAACCUAAAAAAACAUCAGAUGAAACACACAGGAGAAAAGCCUUUCCAAUGUUCCCAGUGUGGGAAAAGAUUUUCACGGUCACAGGAACUAAAAUCACAUGAGAUGACACACACGGGGGAGAAACCACACCACUGCUCCCAGUGUGGGAAAAGUUUUACCCAGUUAGGGAGCCUGAACAAACAUAAGAGAAUACACACAGGAGAAAAGCCGUACCACUGCUCCCAGUGUGGAAAGAGUUUUACCCAGUUAGGGAACCUGAACAACCAUAAUAUAAUACACACAGAAGAAAAGCCGUUCCAAUGUUCCCACUGUGGAAAGAGAUUUUCACGAUCACAGGACCUAAAAUCACAUGAAAGGACACACACGGGGGAGAAACCACACCACUGCACCCAUUGUGGAAUGCGUUUUACCCAGUUAGGAAGCCUGAACAAACAUAAGAAGAGAAUACACUCUGGAGAGAAAUCUUAACAUACUUUCCUGGACAGAGGACCUGAAAUCACAUGACAGAAUAGAGGCGGUGUACUGACGGGAGAGACCAGACCCUCACUCUGACAGCAGGAAGAGUCCUUCAGGGGAACCAGACCCUCACUCUGACAGCAGGAAGAGUCCUUCAGGGGAACCAGACCCUCACUCUGACAGCAGGAAGAGUCCUUCAGGGGAACCAGACCCUCACUCUGACAGCAGGAAGAGUCCUUCAGGGGAACCAGACCCUCACUCUGACAGCAGGAAGAGUCCUUCAGGGGAACCAGACCCUCACUCUGACAGCAGGAAGAGUCCUUCAGGGGAACCAGACCGAGAGAUGCCCAAACCAACAGGACGACACCACUGUUCCCACUGUGGAAAGAAUUUUACUCAUUUACAGAGUCUGAAAAUGCACAAGAGAAUACAUACAGGAGAAAAGCCUUACCACUGUUCCCACUGUGGAAAGAGUUUUAGGUGGUCAGGGAGCCUGAAGGAGCAUGAGAGAAUACACACUGGAGAAAAGCCUUACCACUGUUCCCACUGUGGAAAGAGUUUUAGGUGGUCAGGGAGCCUGAAGGAGCAUGAGAGAAUACACACAGGAGAAAAGCCUUACCAAUGCUCCCAGUGUCAAAGGAGUUUUACCCGAUCAUGGAACCUGAAAAAGCAUGAGAGGACACACACAGGAGAAGCGUCUUUCCAACAUACUAACACACAGGAGGAGAAGACAUACCACUGCUCUCAGUGUGGAAAGACAUUUUCCCGGGCAGAGGACCUGAAAUCACAUGAGAGAAUAGAGAGACUGUGUUCUGACUUAAGUUUUUGAUUAAAAAAAUGUGUUUCUAUGACAAUGAAAUGAAAUGGCAUGCAUGAAAGUUUUUUUUUUUUAAUAGACCUACUUGAGAAAUUAAAUAAAAUUUGUUUUAAUAUUAA